UACAGAGGGUGCGAGCGUUGUCCGGAAUCACUGGGCGUAAAGGGCGCGUAGGUGGCCUGUGGAAGUCUGCGGUGAAAGCCCGGCGCUCAACGCCGGGUCGGCCGUGGGUACUCUCGGGCUCGAGCUUACUAGAGGCAGAUGGAAUUCCGGGUGUAGCGGUGGAAUGCGUAGAGAUCCGGAAGAACACCGGUGGCGAAGGCGGUCUGCUGGGGUAAUGCUGACACUGAUGCGCGACAGCGUGGGGAGCAAACAGG
rnacentral:rRNA from 1 species